rnacentral:lncRNA from 1 species
CUGCUCUUUUGCCUUUUUGUGUUGGCUACACAUUUUUGCUUUUUUAAAGCAAUGACUUUUAAGAGUAGAAAUCCUCCAUAGUUAAUGCGGCAGUCAUGGAGGGCCUGCCCAGAACUCCCUUGGAGAAGGAGCUCCCCUCUCAGCUGUGAGGGGCACGUGAGUGGCUCCUUUUGCAGCCCCUCAGGAUCCGCCACAGCGGCCGUCCGAGCUGCAGCAUCUCAGCUGAACCCACUCUCUGCCUAGGCAGCUCCCAGCCAGUGACCGAGCCUGGCAGCAGGACUAGGCCUGGCCAUUCCUGCCAACACAACUGACAACCCUCCAGGAGCGAUCUGUGUGCCAGAGCCCUGUUGGGUUGAGGGAAAGGUCCCCAGGGCUGCACUGCUGUCGGGGCAAUUUCUCACCAAUCUUCCUUCCCCUCUUCUUUCACUGGUGUCAGACCGACAUUGCGUCUGAAGAUUUUCCCUGCCUACCCCUGUUCCCUCUCCCCUCUACUUUUCAGAGGCAUUAUCUCUGGCACCUUUAUCUUUGUUGUGACGUCUGCUUCCUAGAGGACACAAGUGAAAGUUAUUAUUAAACAAUGAAUUAGUUCGGAGAAGAACAACAGAGAAAAGAACAAAUCAACUAAGUCCUACCAUUUGAACACAUCCUAGUGCACGAACAUAAAUCCUCAGGAAAUCUGUCAGUAUAAAAGAAAUACCUCAGAAGCCAAUCUCUUCUGUUCUUUAAAAAAGUGCUUGAUGACUGGUCCUUAAUUUGUCAGAAGAAAUAACUGUAGCAGUGGAAGUUACCCCACAGAUUUUUCGUGACAUUCCAACAAAAUUAAGGCUUUUGACUUAACGCAAGAUGGCACCCUGUGCAACCACAGUCUGAGCAAACCUGAGUUCCAAUUUCAGUUCAAGGACGGUGUCAAGAUGGCUGCGUAGGCAGACUCUGAACUCACCUCCCACAGACACAAUGAAUUUACAACUACUCUUGGAACAAUCACCCCUAAGAGAGAACUGAAAACUGGAUAAAAAGAACCCUGACAACAAGGGACAGUGCUGACUGAGGUGGAAGAGGCAGAAAUUCCUUUCUGGAGAGAAAAAAAGCCAUCUUUGAGCUGAAACACUUCAUGGCCAGCCAGGAGUAAUCCUCAGGUGAUGGGACCUGACAGCUGCAGCAGGCCAGUGCUUCUCAAAUAGCCACAUUGGGGCUGGACCCAUGGCUGAGUGGUUAAGUUCACGUGCUCCACUUUGGUGGCCCAGGGUUUCACCAGUUUGGAUCCUGGGCACAGACCUAGCACUGUUCAUCAAUCCAGUCUAAGGCAGCAUCCCAUAUACCACAACCAGAUGGACCUACAACCAGAAUAUACAGUUAUGUACUGUGAGGCUUUGGGGAGAAGAAGAAGAAGAAAAAAGAAGAUUGGCAACAGAUCUUAGCUCAGGUGCCCAUCUUUAAAAAAAAAAAGAAAACCAGCCACAUAGGGGAUUGACCCCAUCUUCCAAAGCCUGAAACAAUCGAGUGCUUCCAUGCCUGGACCCACUCAGCUGCAGUCCUGAGAAAGCUGACAAUAUCCUUGUAGGCCAGAGGCCUACAGCAAUUAUAAGCCCCCGAGCCUAGCAACCAGCCACACUGGGGGCCUACUCACUUAACAGAAAAACUGCAACAGGAGUGUGCUAUUAGACAUUGCAGCCAACUGUGCUGGGGCAUUCCACACCUGACAAAGUGAUUGAAGGGAUCACACAGCCACACACAGUGGAGUGUUACAACCAGCUGGCCAAGUGGACAGCCUAACCUCCUCAGACACCUGCAGCAACAGCAACCCUGCCAUGACAGAAGGACACAUGUAGCCCAUACGGGGGACACCCCUGGAAAAUUUGGAACUGGUGAUAAGAGGGAAGAACACUGCAGGGCCUCAUAAAGCAUCUCUUAUAUAAGGCCACCUCUCCAAGAUUGGGAGACAAAGCUGACCUACCUGAUACAUAGAUAUAGCACAGAGAAAGAGGCAAAAUGAGGAGGCAAAGGAAUGCAUUCCAAGUAAGGGAACAGGACAAAACCUCAGAAAAGAACUAAACAAAGCAGAAAUAAACAAUCUACCUGACAAAGAGUACAAACAAAUAGUCAUAAGGAUGCUCACUGAUCUUAGGAGAAGGAUAUGUGAAUAUGGUGAGAACUCCAAAGAAUUGGAAAAUAUAAAAAGGAACCAAUCAGAAAUGGAGAAUAAAAUACUGGAAAUUAAAAAUUCACUCAAUUUUUGAGUCCCUCAAUUGAGAGACUCAAUAGCAGAGUAGAUGAUACAGAAGAAUGAAUUAGAGAGCUGGAUGAAAGGCUAGAGGAAGUCACACAAGCUGAACCGAUAAAAAAAGAAUUAAAAAGAACAAGGACAAUCAAAGGGACCUCUGAGACAACAUCAAGUACACUAACAUCAUGUUAUAGGUGUCCCAGGAGUAGAGACAAAGGGGCAGAGAAUCUUUUUGAAGAAGUAAUAGCCGAAAUCUUGCCUAACCUAAGGAAGGAAGCAGACACCCAGGUACAGGAAGCAUAGAGAGCACCAAACAAGAUAAACCCAAAGAGGCCCACACGAAGACACAUUAUAAUUAAAAUGUCAACGAUUAAAGAUAAAGAGAGAAUAAUCCUAAAAACUGCAAGAGAAGGGCAACAAGUUACAUACAAAGGAAACUCCAUAAGGCUAUCAGCUGAAUUCUCAGCAGAAACCUUACCAGCUAGAAGGGAGCAGCAAGAUAUAUUUAAAGUGCUGAAAGGAAAAACCUACAGCCAAGAAUACUCUACCUGGCAAGGUUAUCAUUCAGAUUAGAAGGAGAGAUAAAGUAUUUCCCAGACAAACAAAAACUAAAGGAGUUUAUCACCGAGAAACCAGCUUUACAAGAAAUGCUAAAGGGACUUAUUUAAGUGGAAGAGAGACCACAAAUAGGAAUAAGAAAAUCAUCAAAACAAAACAAAAAUAGGCAAUAAUAUCACUGGGAAAGACAAAUAUACAAUAAAGGUAGCAGAUCAACCACCUAUGAAGCUAAUAUGAACAUCAAAAAACAAAAGUACUAAAGUUAUCUAUUUCCAUGACAAGAGGGUAAUGGAUACACAUUCACAAAAAAGAGGUUAGAUACGAUAUCAAAAACAUAAAAUGUGGGAGGAGGGGAGUAACGGAGCAAGCUUUUAGAAACAGGUCAAACUGAAGAGAUCAUCAACUUAAUAUAGAUUGCUAUAUAUUUAGGUUAUUAUAUAUUAACUUCAUGAUAAUCACAAAUCAGAAACCUAUAACAAACAUACAAAAAUUAAGAGAAAGGAAUCCAAACAUAAUACUAAAGAAAGCCAUCAAACCACAAGGGAAGAGAGCAAGAGAAGAAUAAAGGAACAGAGAAGAAGUACUAAAACACUCAGAAAAGAGUAAUAAAAUGGCAAUAGGUACAUUCUUGUCAAUAGGUACUUUAAAUGUCAAUGGACUAAAUGCUCCAAUCAAAAGGCAUGGGGGGCCGAUUGGAUAAAAAAACAAGACCCAUAUGUAUGCUGCAUACAAGAGACACCCUUCAGACCUAGACACUCACAAACUGAAAGUGAAGGGACAGAAAAAGAUACUCCAUGCAAAUGGCAAAGAAAAGAAAUCUGGGGUAGCAAUACUUAUAUCAGACAAAAUAAACUUUAAAACAAAAACUAUAACAAGAGACAGAGAAGGGCACUACAUGUUGAUAAAGGGAACAAUCCAAUAAGAGGAUAUAACACUUGUAAAUAUCUAUGCACCCAACAUAGGAACACUGAAAUAUAUAAAGCAAUUAUUAACAGACUUAAAGGAGAAAUAGACAUCAACACAAUAAUAGUAGGGGACUCUAACACUCCACUUACAUCGAUGGGUAGAUCGUCCAAACAGAAGAUUGAUGAGGAAACAUUGGCCUCAAAUGACACAUUAGACUAUUUGGACUUAGAGAUAUAUACAGAAUUUCCAUCCCAAAACUGCACAGAAUACACAUUCUUUUCAAAUGCACAUGGAACAUUCUCCAGGAUUGAUCAUAUAUUAGGCCACAAGACAAUUUUAGGGGGCCAGCCUGGUGGCAUAGUGGUUAUGUUCGGUGUGCUCCACUUCAGCAGCCCAGGUUCAUGGGUUUGGAUCCUGAGCAUGGACCUAUGCCACUUAUCAAGCCAUGUUGUGGAAGUGUCCCACAUACAAAAUAAAGGAAGAUAGGCACAGAUAUUAGCUCAGGGCCACUCUUCCUCAAGCAGAAAAGAGGAAGAUUGACAACAGAUGUUAUCUCAGGGUCAAUCUUCCUCACCAAAAAACAAAAAUAAAAAAAAUUUCAGUUCAAAAAUGAGUUUGACCACCCCAUCCAAGCAUCUUCUGCAAAAAUGGCUUUCCAGGGACUACUUGGACGGACUCUUUCUUGUCCUGAUCUAUUUCCAUUGGACUUUAAAAUUGUAGUUUAAAAUUGCAAGGAAAAAGAGAUGGUGGGUGGGUGCGUGGGAGCAUUUGCAGUUUCAAAAAAUG